CUUGACUGUGGGAUUGCAGACUCCUUGUGCUCAAGCCCUGGGCUCCUUUGAAGAACGUGAUCCUGAGACUUCAGCACAAUGUCUUCUCAAGAGCAGCAGUGCCAGCAGCCAAGCCAGACUCCUCCUGUGUGUCCACCCACAAAGUCUCCUGAGCCUUCUCGUCCACUGAAGUGCCCACCGGCUUGUCCUCCUCCAAUGUGCCCACAGAUUCAUCGUCCUCCAAAGUGCCCACCUACAUUUCCUCCUCCUCCAGUGUGCACACAGAUUCCUACUCCAAAAUUUCCACCUCAUUAUACUCAUCCAACGUGGCAAUAUCCUUGUAAUCGUCGAAUGUGAACACAGCCUUGUAUCCUCCAAUAUGCCCACAUCCUUAUCCUACUCCAAAGUGCCCACAACCAUGCCCACCUCAGCCAUGACAGUAGACAUGUCCUCCUGUGCAACCUCUUCCACACUGACAGUAGAAGUUCCCACAGAAGAACAUGCGAGUGCUGCAGCAGUCUCCAUGUCCAAGAGAAGAGGAGGACAUCUAUCUUCUCCCACUUCAAUAGAAACACUUCCAUCUUUGCUCAAAGCCUGUCACGGCUGCAGAAGAAUUUUGCUCACCCUUCACCUUCAUGUGUCUGUUAUGACGCCUUCGAGGGUGGGCAAUCUCCUGAGAUUCUUCUCCUUCUGCUGUCAAGUGGUGGCUGAGUUUGUUCCUUCCACACCACCUCAGUGUCCCAGAUUCUCAGUGAUGAGUAGCUGAUUCCACCCUGUGCAAUCAGAGGAUGUUUCCAAAACCAUGAGUUUCCUUGUUUGUAUUGUUGUCUCCGUGACUUAAUUUCCAGAAUAAAGAACAAUAUGGUUGUUAGCA